rnacentral:rRNA from 1 species
CCUACGGGUGGCAGCAGUGAGGAAUAUUGGUCAAUGGACGCAAGUCUGAACCAGCCAUGCCGCGUGCAGGAUGACGGCUCUAUGAGUUGUAAACUGCUUUUGUACGAGGGUAAACCCCGAUACGUGUAUCGGGUUGAAAGUAUCGUACGAAUAAGGAUCGGCUAACUCCGUGCCAGCAGCCGCGGUAAUACGGAGGAUCCGAGCGUUAUCCGGAUUUAUUGGGUUUAAAGGGUGCGUAGGCGGUUUGAUAAGUUAGAGGUGAAAUGUCGGGGCUCAACCCCGAAACUGCCUCUAAUACUGUUGGACUAGAGAAUAGUUGCGGUAGGCGGAAUGUAUGGUGUAGCGGUGAAAUGCUUAGAGAUCAUACAGAACCCCGAUUGCGAAGGCAGCAUACCGGUGCACAACUGACGCUCAGGCACGAAAGCGUGGGUAUCGAACAGGAUUAGAUACCCCAGUAGUC